rnacentral:lncRNA from 1 species
AAAUUGGAACUUGAACAUGGAAAACCACAGCAAACGGCACUGAAGUGGAUAACUGUUCAAAGUGUGGAGGACCUGAUUAUCAUGUAGAGGAAAUUAGACUUCAUAUUGUACCUAAUAGUUAGCUACCUGAAGUCUUUAAACUAUGGGUAACAUUUGAUUUACAUUCUGUAUCAUAAAAGUAAUUGGAUUUGGACAGGUAAGAACAAUGGGCAGAAAAUCCAAUUAAAAAGCC